rnacentral:lncRNA from 1 species
UUCUUUUUUAUUUUUUGGUGUAGAUGGACACAACACAAUACAUUUUAUGUGGUGCUGAGGAUCGAACCCAGGUCCUACCCGUGCUAGGCGAGUGCUCUACCGGUGAGCCACAACCCUAGCCCCCAAAUGUUCUAUUUCUAGCUACACCGCGGCCCCUGGAUGUUAGAUUUUUGAUUAGUGAUUCAGUCUCCUUGCUUAACCACUUGUAUUUUGUUUCUUCUUCAUUUAAUCUUUUUCUUUCUUUUUUGUUACUGGGGAUUGAACCCAGGGGGGCUCAACUACUGAGCCCUAUCCCCAGCCCUAUUUUGUAUUUUAUUGAGAGAUAGGGUCUCACUGAGUUGCUUAGGGCCUCGAUAAAUUGUUGAGGCUGGCUUUGAACUCACCAUUCUCCUAUCUUAAUCUCCCUAGUUACUAGGAUUAUAGGCGUGCACCACCACAUCCGGCCCUCUUCAUUUAAUCUUUUUUAUUUUUUUAAUUUUUUGUAGUUGUAGAUUAACAACAUGCCUUUAUUUUGUUUUGUUUUUAUUUUUAUGUGGUGCAAAGAAUUGAACCCAGUGCUUCACACAUGCUAGGCAAGUGCUGGGGGACUGAGCUACAGCCCCAGCCCCUCAUUUAAUUUUGGUAGGUUUUAUUAUCUAGAAAUUUGUUCAUUGCUGUUAGAUUGCCAAAUUUGUUCUGUGAUUGUUUUGUAUCAUUGGAUUCAGUUGUAAAGGCAUCUCUUUCAUUUCUGAGGGCUAAUGUGUGCUAGAAAAGUUCUUUGUUAGCCCAGUAUUGUUUCUACCUCAUUGUUUCUCUUUCCUGUUGAAGUACUGUAUAUCAGAAUUUGCUGUUUUGUUACAUUUC